ACUAAGGUAUGACAUUUGAUUUGCCUCGCAGGAUAAAGCCGAGCUGUCACUAAGCAUGAUCCAGCAGAAGCAAAGACAAAUGGAGAUGGAAUUACAUGCAGAGAUGACAGCUCUAAAAUCCACCCCACUGUCACGGUGCAUAAUACAGCUUUCCGUGCCGUAUAAAGAGUUAAUCAAUAUACAGCGAAAUGUAAAUUGUGCACUGCACCAAACCUUCCUUUUAUGUACUGGAGCGGCAUCUCCUGAAGUACCACACCGCUUUCUCUGCAGCACCUAUUCUUGUGUUUUUGAUCACAAUUGGAAAUUGAAUGACCGCUCCCGUAACCUCUACCCCUGGCACUAAUGUGAGCACCUGGGGAUGCUCACAUUCUAAUGCUGGGGGAGCACAAAGGUCCUGCAAUGUUGCUGACGUAAGCAGACUUGCCGGAGACUUCACUGGAGGAUAACAAGGAGCGAAGGGUUGGGAGGGGGGGGGGGUGUCUUGGAUGGAAGAAUGUGAGUUGGCCAAGGUCAUUUGAAUUUGUUAAACAAAAGGCUUUUUGAUAUCCUGUGGAGAAACAACAUAGGAUAAACACAAGGAUAUAAUGUACAAGUAGGGUUGCACAGUUACUCAAAUUCCAAAAGACAUGGCAAUGUAGGAGAAUGCACUUUGGAAAAAAAUACAGACCUACUGAAAAAUUCAUUUCAGUAGGUCUGUAGGAUUUAUUAAUUUUAAGAUAAAGAUAAGAUAAGAUAUCCUUUAUUCGUCCUACACUGGGGAAAUUUACAGCCUCCAGCAGCAAGAAUGUAUGUAUAAAAUUACUUAUAUUUUUUUAAAAUAUAAGUAUUAUAUUCAUACAGUCGCCAGAUACGUUCAGUGCUUAAAAAGUACGGCCCAUAUGUUUACAUAUCAUUGUUCCAUGAAACAUGAAAAGUUGAAGUCAUAAAGCCACAAAUGUGUUUGCAUUAUUGUAAUCUAACGUACGACUUACUGAUUUAUGUUUACGCCGCAUUUGAUUGGAAGUUACCUUCGUGAACAUUUCAUAACGAGGGCAAGUGCGUCGGUAAACAUCAUUCACAUGUGACCAGCCUGCUCGUCCGUCGUCAUCAGUCCAUCAUUAGUCAGGCUGGCCCAGUCCAUCGGUCGCUAAGCCAUCACACCAUCAUUGUUAUUUUAACUGCACUUUUGUCAUGGCUAUAAAUUAUACUUUGUCAACGCUAUUUUAGGACUGCCAGUAAAAAAAACGUUUAGAAAGGUAACAACACACAAUUUUGCUUGUUUACAGUUUGGACCACUUUACACACACACACACACACACACACACACAUACACAAAUAUGUAUAUAUUUUCUGCUUCUUCUCCUGCUUCCCCUCCCCAAACUGCCCUUUGCCUUUUCUUUUAGUGACGGUUCGGUCGGCAACAGAAAAUCACUUCAGUCAGCACUUUUCUAUUCUAUUCUAUUAGAUUUCUGUGUAAUAUUGUAAUGCAGAUUAAUGUAUUGCUUGCGUUUGUUAAAAACACCUGGCAAAAGGACCCCCCCAAAAAUAGUCCCCGAUUAAAUCACAAUGGCUAUAAUGGAAGGGAGCGGGUGGGGCUUAAUUAGAUUAUUUUUCAAAAUUGUUCAUCUGUAAUGAACAGGGUACAACAUAAUUCAUGUCGUUCGGUCUGCACCCUUCAGCAGUUUGAAUAGGCACAACUUGGGCCACGAAGGAGGAUAGUGUCACUGUGCAAGAGCAAUGGCUCAAAAUGAUCAUCUGUUAUCAUGCAGCACAGCUGAAGUACUGGAGCAGAAAGUGCCCUGUGGAAAUGCAUAAAAGCAAACUUCUCAGAGUCUGCACAGCUUUGACGUGAGCUUAACGCCGCUUUAUCUUUUCUCUCUCGAAGCCCUUGAAAUACCCUCUGCUCAAGCUACAACACUGCCUCACUGGCUCUGACAGCACAGAGGGAGUUUCACAUGCCGUGCAAAUACAACGUUAGCCUCUCUCUGCAUCACCAUUGAGAUCCCAACCCAAACUUGCUGGGCUGAAUUGUACGAGCGGGAAAAAAAAAUAAGGGGCAAAUUACAAAUGCUCAGAAUGUCGGCUUUUUGAGCGCGCUGCCCCCGAUGGUGAACGUGUCACCUCCUCGCGGCACAGGUCAAGAAAAAAGCGCGCUAAGCAAAGAUUGGUGCGGCUACCUAUGAGCUCGAAUGGGUGUGGCUAUCGAAUAACAUGGCCGCUGUUUAAACAUAGCACUGCGGCAGGGGGAGAUGAAUGCAUCUGUCCAUUUGUGACGUAGAAGUAGUAAAAAUGCAAGAUACAGUAACUUGGCGUACAAUAUAUCAACCACAUAAAGGUGCGCUUUUGGCCUGAGUACAUUUCUUUGUUGUCCUUGCUCGAUGUUUGACCUCUUGCAUCAAAAUCACCCUCCUAGCUUGACACACAAGCCUGUAACUUCAGGGAAAAAAUGUCUUUUUCAAGCCUUGAUAAUGCAUCUCACGCUGAGAAACAGAUAGGGGUUCGCGAUCUAGGAAGCAUAAGCCGCCUUGUAAAGUCAGCAAUAAAAAAAGCACUUAUCAAACGGUGACUCUGUGGGUCGGAAGAUGAAACGUGCCCUUGGCGUUGAGGACGAACAGCUGUGAAAAUGCAGCGGAAACACGUCUUCGUCUUGGUGGCCGUCGAUCCAAUAUUGGAUUUUAAAGCAUUUGUGUGUUCCUCAAAACAAAACAAAAA